AAGCACUGCAUUAGGGACUAGGGGUGGGGAUGAUGAAGGCAGGGGCUGCUCCUGUAGCUGAGAUCUGGGGUUGACCUUCGGAGUCAGUGUGAGGAGGUCAGAGAAUGACCGAUUUGGGUUUUAGCCUACUAACUGAUCACUGAGAGCAACCCCAUGAACAUGCUAAGCAGGAUUAAAUUUAUCAGUGUUGGGACAGCUCUGUGGAGUAGCUGGAGCCAUCCCUGCGUUUGCCGCCGGGGUUAGGUACUGAGUGUCCUCCAAGCCUCACUUUUCCCCCUGCGGUCCGGCAGAGAAUGGUGGCGUCACCCUAGAGCGAGGAUUUGCAGACCAACUGGAGUGUCUCCUUCCUGAGCAUUCAGCCUACAAUCCCAAGGGACUGAGUUGGCUCCAGUGCAGUAUACAUGGAAGUGGUACUUGCUCUUUGGGGCUUGGCCUCAGAACUAUCCUGGAUGGAGGUCAGAGCUUACCGUAUGGUCAGGUCUGUCUUCGCAUAGCCGUCGUACUGUGUGCUCCUCUGCAGUGCAUGCAUAUCCAGUUCAGGACUGCCACAAACCAGGAUUUCUACUUCUUCUGGACGAAGCAGCUAUCAAUAAUCACAAAAACCAUAAUUCAAAAUGAUAGUCUUGCCGGGCAGUGGCGGUGCCCUCCUUUAAUCCCAGCACUCGGGAGGCAGAGGCAGGCGGAUUUCUGAGUUCGAGGCCAGCCUGGUCUACAAAGUGAGUUCCAGGACAGCCAGGGCUGCACAGAGAAACCCUGUCUUGAAAAUCCAAAUUUAAAAAAAUGAUAGUCUUAAAUGAAAUUUGAAGUGUUUUUAUUGCAGAAUCAAAUCAUAGAAAUUAUGACACUGUCUCAGUAAAUAAAAUUACUUUUUUGUUGAAGAAAA
rnacentral:lncRNA from 1 species